GAAGAUGUGGCUCAAUGGGUAGAGCACUUGCCUAGCAUGCAGGAAGCCCUGGGUUCAAACCCCAGCACUGCCU
rnacentral:tRNA from 1 species